ACGGGGAUUUUUAUUUCGGUAGAAAUUCUAGUGGCAAACGGGUGAGUAACGCGUAGACAACCUGCCUUUCCGAUGGGGACAACAGUUCGAAAGGACUGCUAAUACCGAAUGACGUGUCUCCUUCGCAUGGAAGAGAUACCAAAGACGGCCUCUAUUUAUAAGCUGUCGCGGAAAGAUGGGUCUGCGUCUGAUUAGCUGGUUGGAGGGGUAACGGCCCACCAAGGCGACGAUCAGUAGCCGGUCUGAGAGGAUGAACGGCCACAUUGGGACUGAGAAACGGCCCAAACUCCUACGGGAGGCAGCAGUGGGGAAUCUUCCGCAAUGGACGAAAGUCUGACGGAGCAACGCCGCGUGAGUGAAGAAGGUCUUCGGAUCGUAAAGCUCUGUUGUACGGGACGAAUGUUGAAGGCGUGAAUAAUGCCAUCAAAUGACGGUACUGUACGAGGAAGCCACGGCUAACUACGUGCCAGCAGCCGCGGUAAUACGUAGGUGGCGAGCGUUGUCCGGAAUUAUUGGGCGUAAAGGGAGCGCAGGUGGGAAGGUAAGUCUGUUUUAAAAGCGUCGGGCUCAACCCGAUGAGGGAACAGAAACUAUUUUUCUUGAGUGCAGGAGAGGAAAGCGGAAUUCCUAGUGUAGCGGUGAAAUGCGUAGAUAUUAGGAGGAACACCAGUGGCGAAGGCGGCUUUCUGGACUGUAACUGACACUGAGGCUCGAAAGCCAG
rnacentral:rRNA from 1 species